rnacentral:rRNA from 1 species
AGAGUUUGAUCAUGGCUCAGAUUGAACGCUGGCGGCAGGCCUAACACAUGCAAGUCGAACGGUAACAGGAAGCAGCUUGCUGCUUUGCUGACGAGUGGCGGACGGGUGAGUAAUGUCUGGGAAACUGCCUGAUGGAGGGGGAUAACUACUGGAAACGGUGGCUAAUACCGCAUAACGUCGCAAGACCAAAGAGGGGGACCUUCGGGCCUCUUGCCAUCAGAUGUGCCCAGAUGGGAUUAGCUUGUUGGUGAGGUAACGGCUCACCAAGGCGACGAUCCCUAGCUGGUCUGAGAGGAUGACCAGCCACACUGGAACUGAGACACGGUCCAGACUCCUACGGGAGGCAGCAGUGGGGAAUAUUGCACAAUGGGCGCAAGCCUGAUGCAGCCAUGCCGCGUGUAUGAAGAAGGCCUUCGGGUUGUAAAGUACUUUCAGCGGGGAGGAAGGUGUUGUGGUUAAUAACCGCAGCAAUUGACGUUACCCGCAGAAGAAGCACCGGCUAACUCCGUGCCAGCAGCCGCGGUAAUACGGAGGGUGCAAGCGUUAAUCGGAAUUACUGGGCGUAAAGCGCACGCAGGCGGUCUGUCAAGUCGGAUGUGAAAUCCCCGGGCUCAACCUGGGAACUGCAUUCGAAACUGGCAGGCUUGAGUCUUGUAGAGGGGGGUAGAAUUCCAGGUGUAGCGGUGAAAUGCGUAGAGAUCUGGAGGAAUACCGGUGGCGAAGGCGGCCCCCUGGACAAAGACUGACGCUCAGGUGCGAAAGCGUGGGGAGCAAACAGGAUUAGAUACCCUGGUAGUCCACGCCGUAAACGAUGUCUACUUGGAGGUUGUGCCCUUGAGGCGUGGCUUCCGGAGCUAACGCGUUAAGUAGACCGCCUGGGGAGUACGGCCGCAAGGUUAAAACUCAAAUGAAUUGACGGGGGCCCGCACAAGCGGUGGAGCAUGUGGUUUAAUUCGAUGCAACGCGAAGAACCUUACCUGGUCUUGACAUCCACAGAACUUUUCCAGAGAUGGAUUGGUGCCUUCGGGAACUGUGAGACAGGUGCUGCAUGGCUGUCGUCAGCUCGUGUUGUGAAAUGUUGGGUUAAGUCCCGCAACGAGCGCAACCCUUAUCCUUUGUUGCCAGCGGUCCGGCCGGGAACUCAAAGGAGACUGCCAGUGAUAAACUGGAGGAAGGUGGGGAUGACGUCAAGUCAUCAUGGCCCUUACGACCAGGGCUACACACGUGCUACAAUGGCGCAUACAAAGAGAAGCGACCUCGCGAGAGCAAGCGGACCUCAUAAAGUGCGUCGUAGUCCGGAUUGGAGUCUGCAACUCGACUCCAUGAAGUCGGAAUCGCUAGUAAUCGUGGAUCAGAAUGCCACGGUGAAUACGUUCCCGGGCCUUGUACACACCGCCCGUCACACCAUGGGAGUGGGUUGCAAAAGAAGUAGGUAGCUUAACCUUCGGGAGGGCGCUUACCACUUUGUGAUUCAUGACUGGGGUGAAGUCGUAACAAGGUAACCGUAGGGGAACCUGCGGUUG